rnacentral:rRNA from 1 species
UCCCUAACAAAAUUCUUAUCAUCACAUCGGUACAUUCCGAAGGAGGAGCAGGACUUCUUGAGGGUUCUGCACGGAUGCAACAUUGAGACUGCGAGGCAGAUGCAGCUGAUGUCAUGGUUCUACGGAAGCGCUAAAGACGUACCCUACACGACACAAGACAUUGCUAAUCAACGAGCUAAGUUCCGCUUAGAGCACCGCCACAAGGACAUUGGGAGCACAAUUGCAUACUUCCAAGAGAGGGCCAAAGAUUCAUAUUUCUACUGGAGAAUCAAACUUGAUGAUGAGGACAUGGUUGAGAACUUGUUCUGGAUAGAUGGCGCAUCACGCAGGGCAUAUGCAAAGUGUAAUGACUGUUUGUCGUUUGACACGACAUACAUGACAAACAUGUACAAGAUGCUGUGUGAACCAUUCAUUGGAAUUAAUAACCAUGGUCAAUCCAUCCAGUUUGGGUGUGGCUUCGUUCGAAAUGAACUAAAGGAAAACUUUGCGUGGCUGUUUAACACAUUCCUCCAUGCAAUGGGUGGUGUUGCCCCUAAAAACAUCACCACAGACCAGGACUUUGCAAUGAGGAGUGCGAUCGACGAGGUCUUCUUGAACAUAAUACACAGAAAUUACCGCUGGCAUAUAAUGAAGAAGGCGCAUGAGAAACUUGGAAAACUUAUGGCUGAUGAUAAACCACUAAACAAAGCGUUCAAAGACUGUGUCGACAAUAGCUUGACUGAGGAAGAGUUGGAAAACAAAUGGUGGGCAAUGAUGGAUGAAUAUGGCCAGAUCGACAAUGAACAUUUUCAAUGGCUGUGGGAAAAUAGGAAAUGUUGGGCCCCAGUGUACUACAUGAAGCAUUUCUUUCCAUUCUUGCAGACAACUGCAAGGAGCGAGGGAUUCAAUGUUGUGCUCAAGAAGAGAAAGUAA